UUUAGUUAAAAAAAUUAGUGAGCUUUACUCAUUUCUGCUUACUUUGUUGACCUUACUUUAAGAAACUUAGUAAAGAACACUUUUUGGUGAGUAAAGUUAUUAAACUUAUUAUCUCAAGUAAGCUUUACUUUAAAAAAAUGAGUGAGGCGGACUCGGAAGAAACUCGGGUGCACUCGGCAGCACUCGGCUCGGAUACGCAUGCGCAGUCGACCACUGAAGACGUUCUUUGCUCGAGACGGAUUGGCGGCAGCGAGAAGGCAGUGCAGGUGUGCGAGUUACUUUCAGGCUUUGAAAAACCUGGCAAUGAAUUGUAAGUAUUGCUUAUUUUCUUCUACACACUACUGCAUAACACAUGGAAGCGUUGCCAGAUUGAGUCCAUGUCUUCACACAGAGUGUCUCCUGUGACGACCAUGAAGGAACGAUGAGGGGAGCUGAUGUAAUCUGUUCAAUCUAGAAGCCACUAGUUUUCUGCCCAGUGUGAUGUAGUAUGUUGUAAUGUGUUUACUGUAGGUCUAAUAUGACUAAAUAUUAAUUUAUUUCUCUUUCCGUUAGAUUCUGGCUGAGUUCUGUCGCUUAUCAAACAAAAAUCUGAGUUGCAAUCAGAGUUCUUCAAAGAUCUCGACAAAUACACUCCUCGCUUCCUGGAGAAGUUCAAAACCCAGAGGGGGAAAGUGUCGGACAGAAACUUGAAUAUCUGCAACAAGUCAUACCUGGGAGUACAGAUGUGACUGGGAGGUGAACAGCAGUCCUCCGUGGCUCUCCCGUCAUCCUUGGAGAUGACAACGCAGACUUCUUCAAGAAUUUGAGGUUCAGGAGCAGCCAAUAUGAUGCAGGUGUGACGGCUGACGAUGGUAGGUACCUGUUCAGCCUCCUGUGGUAGGAGCACAUUUCCCAGAAGCAGCAGUGACAAAGAAAUGUGGAUGUUUACCACGAAUAUGGACUCUGAUGACCUUCUGGACGUGUCCCACGCCUCCAUUGGGACCCUGACGGUGCUGAAGACAUUGUGGCCUCCUCACUCGCUGAACCUGGAGUCUACAACUACUGCCAUCGUUUUGGGAGGAACAGUCGUGAUGGGUGACCGCGAUAAUCUUCCCCGUGCCGUGUGGCUACUCUUCGGACUUAUUUACCCCUGAAUUUGGAGUAUCCUCAACGAGUGAGGAAGACCUUCUGAAUUUAUUCAUAGAGUGCUUCUCACUUGGACCAAAAACCAUAAAAUACAAUCACUCAAAAAUCUACUGAUGCCAUAAGGGACUGUGUUCAUGAUGUGCAGUCAGGCCCGAGAACUUCACCCUUCUAUCUCCAAUUGAACUCUUUUCUAGAAAAUGUCUGUUUUUGUUGUUUUUCUGUCGUGAAAUUUAGCAAAUGCCGAAAACGCUGUGUUCAUCAUAUUUCUGCGUUACAAAACCUAAUCUGGCAACAUGUUCAGCGUUUUAAGCACGUUGUUUGAGUUUUAAAACGUGUUUUUCUUCUAAAUAAACGUCUUCCAUUGUAA